rnacentral:rRNA from 1 species
AGGAUAAACGCUGGCGGCGUGCAUGAGACAUGCAAGUCAUACGGGCGAGCUUGCUCGUUAGUGGCGGACGGCUGAGUAACGCGUAGGUGACCUGCCCCGAAGUGGGGAAUAACUGCCCGAAAGGGUGGCUAAUACCGCAUGUGGUGGUGCGUUCAAUCGCACCAGUAAAGCCGCAAGGCGCUUCGGGAGGGGCCUGCGUCCGAUUAGCUCGUUGGUGGGGUAACGGCUCACCAAGGCGACGAUCCUUAGCUGGUCUGAGAGGAUGAUCAGCCACACUGGGACUGAGACACGGCCCAGACUCCUACGGGAGGCAGCAGUGGGGAAUAUUGGACAAUGGGCGAAAGCCUGAUCCAGCAAUGCCGCGUGAGUGAUGAAGGCCUUAGGGUUGUAAAGCUCUUUUACCCGGGAUGAUAAUGACAGUACCGGGAGAAUAAGCUCCGGCUAACUCCGUGCCAGCAGCCGC